AUUGAACGCUGGCGGCAGGCUUAACACAUGCAAGUCGAGCGGGGGAAGGUAGCUUGCUACCGGACCUAGCGGCGGACGGGUGAGUAAUGCUUAGGAAUCUGCCUAUUAGUGGGGGACAACAUCUCGAAAGGGAUGCUAAUACCGCAUACGUCCUACGGGAGAAAGCAGGGGAUCUUCGGACCUUGCGCUAAUAGAUGAGCCUAAGUCGGAUUAGCUAGUUGGUGGGGUAAAGGCCUACCAAGGCGACGAUCUGUAGCGGGUCUGAGAGGAUGAUCCGCCACACGGGGACUGGGACACGGCCCGGGCUCCUACGGGAGGCAGCAGUGGGGAAUAUUGGACAAUGGGGGGAACCCUGAUCCAGCCAUGCCGCGUGUGUGAAGAAGGCCUUAUGGUUGUAAAGCACUUUAAGCGAGGAGGAGGCUACUUUAGUUAAUACCUAGAGAUAGUGGACGUUACUCGCAGAAUAAGCACCGGCUAACUCUGUGCCAGCAGCCGCCGUAA
rnacentral:rRNA from 1 species